rnacentral:lncRNA from 1 species
AUUUUUUUUUUUUGUUAUGUUCCCUUUUGUCUUCAAGUUCAUAGCCUGGCUGGAAAAAUGUGAGAAAAUUAAAAAGAUAUCAGCCAAGAACCUUUACAGAGUUGCAACUAAAAAAUAUGUAGUGUGUUGAAAAAUUAGGGAACAUGAUAGCUAGACGACCCAUAUAGCAACGAAGGUAGUACUUAAGUCAUAGUUAAAUCAUUGUUGCAGCAAAUGUGUUGAUAACAUAAGAAACAUGUGUGUAUCUAUACAUGUAUGCAUAUUUGAAUCAACUUUAAAACACAAGAUAUGAAACUAUAGGAGAAUUACCCAUGUCAAUUCUUAUUGUUCUGUUUCUACUUCAACACUCUCGUUAUUAGCUUAAGCCAAGUGUAAGCUGAUAAUUAAGCUGCAAUGUGUUGUACCAUAAGCAUUUGAUUCUUAAUUGCGGAGCUAUACUAUAAUACUGAUUAAAGAACCAGUUAGUGUAGUAUUUAAAAUGUCAUAUAGCAAAGUUCGAGUAAUUGUGGUAAGUGGUAAGGACAAGAAAGAGUUGAAAGAUGCAUAAAAGUGAGAGAAAAUGAAUUUAAAUUCUAAACCUGAUCAAGUAGGAGAGGUUUUAUGGUUAUUUUCUUUUUAGCUAAGCUUGCUGCAAAUUCCUCAACUGUCAUAGGCUCCAACAAUGCAUUCGGAUGAAGCUCUGAUAUUGGGCUCACAGAUGUUGGCUGUGAUAGCAAACAUAAAUAAACAAUUCACUAACAGAGAAGCUUAACAAAGAAAAGCAACUUAAGAGUUAUGCAUUUAUACAUUAGCUAGAAGUCGAACUUUGGCCAAUCUCCUCUUAUCAGUAAUGGAAAGCUCCAGACCAUCAUCAAGCUGUAUACAAAAUCAUAACUCAUUGAAGCACAUUUUCGGGUUCGCGAUCAGUUAAAAACUUAAAAUUUUCUCAACCUGGACUAAGAACUUUGAAUACUUAGAUGGCCACUCCUCUGAGACCUUUACAGCAGACCUAUAUAAAAAAUGUAAUACAAAUCAAUCUUGUUCUAUGAAUUUUAUACUGACCAAAGCAAAUGUAAUAAUCGUGCUUCAUAAACCGCACCUCUUAUACUUAGUGACAGCGACGCCUUUGAUAUAAAUAGCAUCAGCCAUACCUGAGGAAGAACACACAUAAACCAAAAUCAAAAUUAAAUAAAGCCAAACACUUUCACUCCUUCUUUACGAAUGAAAGCAAAAAGGUCUUGCAUUGAACAAUGAACCGUCUUGCAUUUUAACAAAUCUUCGAUUUUGAUGUAGUUUAUUCCAUCAAAGGCCCUGAAUUUAGAUAAAUUGGAGUAAGAAAAACCUUGAAUUAAGUUACUUGACGAACACACAUAAAACCAAAACCAAAACAAAAUAUAAGUUCUAACAAACAAUAAAUCCCACUUUCACUCCUUUGAUAAUGAAUCAAAGCCAAAAGGUCUAGCAUUGAACUGUCCUGCAUUUUGUUAAAUUUUCAAUUUUGAUGUAAUUGAUUCCAUCAAAAGCCCUGAUUUUUAAGGUAAAACGGAAAUGUAAAACCAUUGGCAUCAGCUUGAUCAAAUUUCAACCAAAUAAUUUGGGAUUCAAAAAAAGAUUGCAAACGUAACCUAAACCUUAUUAAAGGGAGAUUACCUGAACUUAGAAGAUGAAGCACUGAUGGAGAUAAGGCAGUCACAUACUUGAAUCUUUAGUCAUUCUGGAUUUUUAAGAGGAAUCACAUGACGCUUCAAUUCACAAUUUAAGAUGCCGUUUGGAUUUAGAAAUAUCUGAGAGAGGAUACAAAGCGUUUAUGGAAGAGUAUCAAACGAUAUCGAUGGUGAUUGUGAAAAAUAUAUCCAUAAAAAAAAUUGUAAAUGGCUGAUGUGGCAUGAUUUUAGGAACUCUUUAGAUUGCUGAUGUGGAUUGCUUUAGAAGCCUCAAUGAUCUUCUUUUAUUAGUAAGAGAUGUCAAGUAAAAAGUUUAGGUUAUUAUAUGGAAAACUAAAUGAUGAUAAUAUUAUUUAGAUAUUUAAAAAAAAAAUUAUUAACAAUUUGAGUGAUGGAGGAUAAGCAAAACUUUUAAAUCAAUGAAAAUUGAAUCACUUAAAAAGUGUAUUAUAUAGCUUCAAUAUCAAACUUUAUAACAUUCGGUUGAAAAUUUUUUUGGGAAAAGAGUUAACUAAGUUACAGUAAAAAAUUUUUUAUAAAUUGGCUAUUGGGCCACUUGGCAUCUUCUUAUAUUAAAAUAUUUUAUUUUAUUCUAGUUACAUAUUUAGAAUUGAAUUAAUUAACACAUAACUCCAAAAUGAAUAGUUGUAUUAAAAGUAUUAACAUUUGCUGUGAAUUAAAUUUAAUUAAUAUUCAAAUUAAGAAUUUAAUACUCCAUCCGUUUUAAAAUUAGUUGUCAUUUAAAAUUUUUUCACACAAUUUAAGAAAACAUUUAAAUUCUGUUUUACCCUUAGUUAAUGUGUUUUUUUUUUAUUUGAUAUCAUCAAUUAAUCAGCUAGAACAGCAAAGAUAAAAUUGGAAAAUCUGUCAUAAAUAUGUAUUGAAAACACAAAGCGACAACUAAUUUAAUAUAAAUUUAACUUCUAAUACGACAACUAAUUUAAAAUAGAGGGAGUAGUAGGAUGAUGAAGCUUUUAUAAUUUAUUAAUUGUUUAAAUUUUAUUAUUUACUUAUUGUAAGAAUUAAGUAUUUACAUAUGAUUUUUAGUGAAUUUAUCUAUGUUAAGAGUAAAAAUGAGUGGUGGAGCAUUUUAAACUAUCAUUAUGGUUGAAAUGAUAUUAAGUGUAGGUUAGAAUUUCAUUAUGAGUGUUUUGAUUAUUUUUUUCUUUUUAGAGUGACAGAAUUAUAUAUUUCUUUUUUAUUUAGUAUCAAGUAAAAAUUUUAGAUUAUUGUAUGGAAGAUUAAAUUAUUUUAGCUCUAAUUAACCAACAUAUUUAACAUAAAAAAAAAUACAAUUUGAGUGAUGGAGGAUAAGCAAAGUGAAGUUAAUGAAAAUUAAAUCAUUAAAUAUUGAAAGGUUUAAUUUGAGGAAAUAGUUAACUAAAUUAAAGUAAAUAUAUAUUUACACAUCAGCCCAUGAUCCCAAACCUUCUCCAACGGUGGUUCUGGGUCGUCUAUGGUAUUCAAUAGUUUACAUUUUACAAUCUGAGUUAUUUAUUUUUCAUGGCUUGUAAAUCAACUAUUUUUUGUUGAUUAAUAAUUUUAUCAUUUCAAAGAAUAUAUAUAUAUAUAUAUAUAUAUAUAUAUAUAUAUAUAUAUAUAUAUAUAUCACUAUCUCACUAUUGGCCUGUUUUGCAUCUUCUUAACUAAAAUAUAUUAUUUUAUCUGAACUCUAUAUAUAUAAUUGAAUUAAUUUUUAAUAUGAAACUCAUAAUAAAUCCUCAAUUAAAAAAAUACGAUUUUUGUUUCUUAUGCAUAUAAUAUCGAAUGAAAUGUUUUUACCAAUCAUCAUAUCAGAUAAUUUAAACUUCACCAAAAAAAACAAAUAUCAGAUAAUUUAAAUACAUAUUCACCAAUCAUCUUUCUAUACCAUAUCACUACUUUCAUUUGUGUUGUCUAUUUUUUUUAAUCAUUAUUUUUUAACAAAAAUGUAUGAUCAUAUGUUGCAUUUGAAAAUUAAUUAUAAUAGAAAUUUAAGUAUUUUUCAAAAAAUAAUUAAUAUAAAAAAUUAGCCUUGAAAACAACUAUUCAAUCUAAACAAAAAAAUUGAUUUAAUAUUAAAUAUAUUAAUGAUUAAACUUUUUAAAAGUAGCAAAACAUUUUUAAUGUAUAUUUAGUCACAAAGUAUUUACAUAUAUUAUUUUAUUAAUUUCAAAUCCACUGGACACCUUCUAGUAGAAUAAUAAUAUGGAGAAUUUACCAUCAGGUUCUUGUUUUUGUAACGUGAGAAAAUUAUUAAUCAUUGCGUUACUUUCUCUAUCUCUUAGCUUCUAGACUCUGAAAGAAACAAGGGUUGAAGGAGAAAGGUUUUGAUUUUAUUUCCUUUGUUCUCUCUUAACUAUUACAUGAGGUUUAUCCUCUUAUUUAUACACAAUGUAAAACCCUAAUGCUCUUGACAGAUGUCAUCAUGCGAUAGAGAGCUGAGAGCGUCAAACUUGUUGUUUGUCUUUAUCUCUGGUACAAAUGCACAGCUCACUCGCUAUCCUUUUGCAACGGCAUUGUUAUCGGCAGCUUCCUUUCUCUUGUCGUUUGUGUGAGAAGAUGACUGUUGCUGACUGGGCUUCGUGGGCUCAGAUGUGAUUUGAAUCUUGUUGGGCUUGACAUCACGAUCCAUCGGUUUGGCUUGGGAAGACUCUGCUUGGAACAGAGGAUUUGGCUUGGGAAGACUCUGCUUGGAACAGAGGAUUUGGCUUGUUCUCUGUUGACUUGAGCUUCUCCUUAAUAGACUCAUCGUGUAAACGUUGCAAAAUCUCAUCUGUGGCUUUGCCUAUAGCUUUAACCUCCUUCACGUAUUUCUUUCCAAACAGUUUUAGCACCGGCAAGUAAUCACCGGAAUGAUUCGCGCCGCUAUACACGGCGAUAUCAUACACGAGCAUCUUGAACAGUUAUGUUUCUUCCUGUUGUUAACAUCUUCUCCCUACCUUUCUUACUAUGUUGUUGAACGUUAGAUCGGGUAAGAGCGGUUCGAGUUCGAUAUGAGUGAAACGGCUUGUGUCAUCGAAGUGAGUGUGUGAGCAUUAGCAAGAUCUUAACGGAUGUGGAGGAAGUUGUAGAAGCGGUGAGAAGAGAGGAUUUCUAUGGAGCAAAAUGCGGUGGAGGUUACGACACUGAUCACCGCAAGGAGCGGUUCCAAUGGUUGUGUGGUUGUAGGCUGAUCAAUGCAUACUUGGUUAAUAUAAGACUUUUAGUGAACACUCAUAUUGGGCUUCUGAGUGUUAGACAAUUUAUGGUGUUUAGUUUAUGUUAAUUAUGCUUUGUUUAUUAAAUGGAUAAGUAUCAAUUUUGUAGAGACUAGGAUUAGUUUUUUUGUUUCUCGAUUCUUAUAUAAAGGAUCCUUGCGUUGUAGAAUGGAUGAGUUUUGAUUAUUGAAUAGAGAUAUAUAUUUUAAAGAGUUUGCUUGUGUAUAGUCCUGACUCUUGAGAGAAAGAUUCUCAACCCUAAAAGCUUAUGUGUUAACUCUCAAAUCCUAUUGUUUUCAACGUCAAUCCGUCGUUGUUAACAAGAUCAGGUCGCAAACCAAGAUCCCUUAGAGAUCGUGAGCUUCUUGUUCGUUAAUUAAGUUUCCGCUCUCUAUCAUAGGCGAUGUGGUUGGCGGUGAGUUGGAGGGUCCGGUUGAGAGAACAAAGUCGUUUUUGGCCGGUGAAGAAUAUUCUUGGGCGAGGGAAGAAGAAGAUAUACUACUACACGAGCCAAAACGGAGGGAGAAGAUUGGUCCGUACUCUUUGGAGGACAGUGGUUAACGACUGGACGUGACAGUGGUUGCCGAGGGAGAUUGAAAUGGUGUGUUUUAGAGGAGAGGAAUUUGUAAGCCAAAAGAAGCAAUAUGAGAGGGAGAAGUACGAAAUAAAACAUUUCGUCCUCUAUCUUUUUUUCCCUAAUUUUAGGGUGUUUGUGUUUCGACUUGUGAAAUUGGCUUAUGGUUUGGUUUACAACUCUCUAUAUAUAGAGAAAUUGGAGUACUUAAUGACAUAACUUGACGUACCAACGUAGAGCGAAUAAUCUAUCUGAUCGCACCAACAACAUAGAUUAUUGUACCCAAGAAAAUCUUGUUAACAUAAUUCGAUUUUUUUAUUUAUUUAAAAUUUGAAUAUGUAGUGACCAAUGAACCGAAUUGCAUAAAGUCUACAUACAUAGUUAUUAUAGUUAUAGGCAUUUUUAAUCCUUACUUUUAUUCUUUCAUGUUUUCGAGAGAGAUUGAUUAAACUCUAACGUUGAUUUUCCAAAUGGCACGGGGAAGAAGAAAGAUCGGGAUUUUAGGAACAAAACAUUCAUGGUAGUUGCACAAGUUGUCCGCUUCUAGUCGUCAUAACCAAAAACUAAAAGAUAAGAGAGUGUUUUCUAUUUCCUAUUGCAUCAAGGUUUCGAAACUAAACCUAAUUUAUAGUCCAUCGACAUGCAUAUUACAUAAACUAUUUUAAAAAGUAAAGUUGAUAAAAUCGAGUGGUUAGUUUCAUGUCAAAUCAUUAUGUAUUUUUCUGGGUACAAAUGAUUCAAAACUACUCCAUUUUGAGGAGUCAAAACGACUCCAUUUUAAAUUAACACUCAAAGCUAAUUUUUAACAAUUUAAUAAAGAAAAAGUUUAGAAAAUUUCUAUUUCAUGAAUUAUUAUCAGACAAGUAGUAAUUUGUUUUUAUUUCAAUAUAAAAGUGAAUCGAUUUUCAUAAUUAAAUUGAAAACCAUAAAUACCAUAAAAAUACCAUACAUAGUUUAACAGGAAAACACAUAAACAUAAAACAAGAUCAAACAAAACACUACCAAGCGUUUCUUUUCCCAUAGCCAUUCCUAAUCGAAAGAGAUCCAAAACUCGAAGACACAUCCUCAAGCAAAGCAUCACUCAUGGAAUCUCUUAGAUUCUUCUCAUCAGUAGCAUCAUAGAAACAUCCACGUGUCCUAGACUCACUUAUCAGUUUAGCCCAAAUCGAACCACUUAGAGCCAAAGUUGUCUCAUUACCAACCACCCAUAAACAAUGCCUUGCUCGAGUAAGUGCCACAUUGGCUCUUUGACGGUUGUUGAGAAAUCCCACUUUUCCAUUACCGUUACUUCUAACGGUAGAGAUGAUGAUAACAUCUUCUUCCCCACCUUGAAACCCAUCUACCGACCGAACAUUCAAAGUGAAAAGCUCACCUGAUAAAGAGCUGUACUUAUUUUUGGUUCUCUCUUGGAUUGCUCUGACUUGUCCUUUGUAUGGAGAAACCACUCCAACGCUCAUCUUUAUUCUUCUUUCACUUGAAACUGUUUUGAAAAAUAAGCAAAAUUAAUUUAAAAAAGAAUAAUGAAAAACAGAUUAAUAUAUAAAGAUCAAUAAUACCUUUGAAAAGACUGGAUAUGAUUUCAGAAAUCACAGCAACUUCAACCAUGUUUUUAGGACUAUGUCCAUCACCAAACUCUUCUUCUCCAAGUCCAACAUUGAUAAAAGAGAAAGAACCAAACAUGUUCCCUUGAAGAAACCUCUUUUGAUAAAUGCUUUCUUGAACAUUCGCAGCAUCUUUGAUUUUCCCACCAUAGAACUCUUUAUUAGGGAAACGACUAAUCGAAGGAUGCAUUCGGUAUUGAACAUUAAGAAAAUGCUUGUUGUGACCAAGCAGAACCAACCUCUCGAACAAACUGCUUCCGAAUUUUGCCUUUUCACAUAUCUGCCACAUUAUUCCGUGAUUAGAAAACUAUAGUAUAUAUAACUAGAAAAUAGAAAGACACUUUUGUUUAUAAUAAGAGACUACCUCGUUAUGAACCAUUGCAGGCAACUGAAGCUCAUCUCCUAUAAGAACAGCAUGACGAAGUCCAGAAAGUUGCAAAGCAGCAACUUGUUGAGGGAGAGAUUGGGCUUUAGAAGUAUAAAGGCCCAAUCCAAGAAAGAAAGCCCAUCAACGGGCAGGCCUUAAAGCCCAUCAACGGAGCAGGCCUUAAAGCCCAAAAGCAUCAAAGCCCAGACGACCUCGCCGCCUUACGGGCCUGCCACGUCACCGGACCCAAGGGGUAAAACCGGUAAAAGCUGUCAGGGUACGCCCUAUUCCGCAGGGUUAUAAAAGCAGGACGACUAGUCCUGUCACAUCCAUCGAAAAAGACGCUGACACGGCAAGGACGCGAAGAGCUCGGCAAGGAUACAAAGAACUCGGCUAGGACACGAAGACCGAUCUCAAUCUAGAAAAGGAAAGCGACCUCAAUCUUCAUUCAGCUCGGAAAAGCGACCUCAAUCUUCAUUCAGUUCGGCCUCAUCGACGACCUGGAAUCCUUAAUCCGAAGUCAUCAAUCUCGGUUCGCCUAACGCCAUUUGAACUCUCGGCUCGAAUUGUUUUGGGAGAUUCUUUUUACUUCCCCAGAGAAACCCUAUUUCGUACUUGUGUGAUUCGUGCAUCAACAGUUGGCGCGCCAGGUAGGGGGAUAGCUCAGAGAUUUCUCCAGUCAACAAAACGAGCCCGCGACAACACGAUGGCAACCGAUGGAAACCAGGGAACCAGUACGGGCCUCCGAGACGACAACGCAUCCUCCACGGGAGGAGAGACGGUGACGCCGAUCCCGUUAGGAGCACUUCCGACAAGGAAGGCCACCCAUACCUCGGUAGCUAUUCCCGCAUCGCUACCUCAAACGCCCGAGGGGCCAGCGGAAGCAGCAAGGAACGAAACGCCCCCGGCACACCAGGAGGAAGGCGAACCGACCUCUCCCAGCAGACGACGUCCAACGAACCUCGAAGAAAACCGUGCAGAACGGCACGCUGCGGCAACAACUCCCGCCGAGCCAAACCGACUGCUCCAGAACAUCCUCGACCAUCUAGGUCGACAGGACGCACGAACAGAUGCUCGGUUCGCAUCUCUGGCCGCGGCUCAAGCGUUCUCCAUGGACGAGAUCAACCGUCUGCAAACGAGUCGGAGUGCAAACGCAGUCUACACUCCAGAACUCCCCGGACGUCCCCAGGCAGCUCAGCCCGUCCAAACCAUGGGCAGCACCAAUCCGCGAGAUACGGAGAUCGCCGAACUAAGACGCGCUGUCCUGGAAAUGAGUUCGAAAAUUCACCGUGCCACUAGCUCGGCUCCAGAACUCGACCGUGUGCUCGAGGAAACUCAGCAAACCGCUUUCACCCAAAGAAUCACAAGCAUCUCCGUCCGCGGAUCCAAGAAAAUCAAAUUAGAAAGGUACAACGGAAAAGGCGACCCUAAGGAAUUCCUGCAAUCUUUCAGCGUCGCGAUUAACCGCGCCGAGCUGACUCCAGAAAACUUCGAAGCAGGGCGGUGCCAGAUCUUCAUCGAACAUCUCACGGGCCCGGCUCUCAACUGGUUCUCCCGCCUAAAGCCAAAUACAAUCAGCAGCUUCAACCAAUUGUCGUCGUCUUUCCUAAAGCACUACUCACCUCUCAUCGAGAACCAAACGUCCAACGCCGACCUAUGGUCCCUAUCGCAAGGCCCCAAGGAAUCACUCCGAUCGUUUAUCGAUCGCUUCAAGGUGGUAGUAACCAAAAUCACCAUCCCUGACGAAGCCGCGAUAGUAGCCUUGCGCAACGCCGUCUGGUACGAUUCAAAGUACAGAGACGAUAUCACUCUUCAUGCUCCGAACACUCUCGAGGACGCACUUCAUAGAGCCUCGCGGUAUAUCGAGCUCGAAGAAGAGCGGCUCGUUCUAGCCAAAAAGCAUAAUCCGCCCAAAACAUCUGUAACCAAGGAGACUGCUUCGGCCAUACCUAACACGGCAAACAACGCCGAGCCAAAGCAACAUUCCAAAGGUAGCAUCGGCCAGGCACGACGACCUACGACCUUCGUCGUUAACAGCGAGACACCAUCACCAAGGCCGUGGAACAAGUACGUAAGGGACCCCGAUUCCCCGGCAUCGACAUCAAUAUUCUGUGAAUACCAUAAGAGUAGAGCGCACGCCACUGAAGACUGCCGGUAUCUACAAAGCUUGCUGAUGGCAAGAUAUAAGAGCGGAAGCAUUGCGAUCGAGUGCGAUCGCGCCCAAGGAGGUAGAAAUCAAAAGCGUAACGAAAGCACGGCUCGUCAAUACCUACAAGACCAUGCGAAAGCCGAGGAAGUCGAAGAUGCGAAUGAUUCCGCCAAAAGACCUCGGAAUGGAGAGGCGCCAGCCGAAGCUCCGGUGGUCGUCAGACAGGUCCGAAUGAUAAUGGGCGGACUGCAAAACUGCAACGAUUCGGUUCGAUCAAUUAAACAACAUCGCAAAAAAGCUGAAAUGAAGGAAGUAUGGCCGUCCACGAGCGCGCCAUCAAUUACGCCCAUCGACGAACCCAUAUCAUUUACCCAAUCCGACCUGGAAGGCGUCGACACACCGCAUAACGAUCCUCUCGUCGUCGAACUCAUUAUCGGCGAUAGCCGAGUAACUAGGGUGCUCAUCGAUACUGGAAGCUCAGUCGACCUCAUCUUCAAGGACGUUUUGGCUAUAAUGAAUGUCAGCGAUCGGCUAAUAAAACCCGUAUCGUGCCCGUUGGCCGGAUUCGAUGGUGACUUCGUAAUGACAAUCAGAACGAUCAAGUUGCCCAUAUUCGUCGGAGGAACGAUCUCGUGGGUCAAGUUCGUCGUAGUUGACAAGCCCGCAGUUUACAACGUUAUUUUGGGGACGCCCUGGAUGCAUCAAAUGCAGGCGAUCCCGUCCACAUACCACCAGUGCAUCAAGUUCCCAACGCAUAACAGAGUAUUCACCUUGAGAGGAAAUCAACAGAUCGCAAGAACAUGUUUUCUCAUCGAACACAAGAACCGCGUCACUAAGAAGUUAUAGCAAUUAACGACGCCAGCGUCAUCGACCGUCCCGACCCUGAAAAAGUCCCUCGAAGAGCCUCAGCUGAGCAGAACAGAACAAGUGAAUAUUGACGAGACGGAUAAGACAAGAUGCGUCGCAAUCGGGGCCGAGAUAGUACCAUCGGUUAAAGAACCACUCAUCGCGUUCCUAAAAAAGAAUUCUAAAACGUUCGCCUGGAGCGUAGACGACAUGAUAGGCAUCGAUCCUAUGAUCGUUACGCACGAGCUUAACGUCGACUCAACCUAUAAACCGGUAAAGCAGAAAAGGCGAAAAUUGGGAACGGAGCGAGCCAAGGCCGUAAAUGACGAAGUCGAAAAACUCUUAAAGGCUGGCUCGAUAACCGAGGUAAAAUAUCCGGAAUGGCUAGCGAACCCGGUCGUUGUGAAGAAGAAGAACGGCAAAUGGCGUGUUUGUGUAGACUUUACCGACCUCAAUAAGGCGUGCCCAAAAGACAGCUACCCACUCCCCCAUAUCGACAGGAUAGUUGAAGCGACCGCCGGGAACGAACUUCUGUCCUUCAUGGAUGCAUUCUCGGGGUACAAUCAAAUCCUCAUGCACAGAGAUGAUAGGGAAAAGACCUCGUUCAUCACAGACCGAGGAACCUAUUGCUACAAGGUGAUGCCAUUCGGCCUCAAGAACGCCGGUGCGACGUACCAACGUUUGGUAAAUAAGAUGUUCGCUGAUCAUCUCGGACGAACCAUCGAAGUUUACAUCAACGACAUGCUGGUAAAAUCUCUAGUAGCAGCCGACCAUGUCCGACACCUAAGCCAAUGCUUCGACGUACUGAACGAAUACAAUAUGAAAUUAAACCCCGCAAAAUGCACGUUCGGCGUAACAUCCGGCGAGUUCCUGGGGUACAUGGUCACACAGAGGGGGAUCGAGGCUAACCCAAAGCAAAUUCGCGCAAUCCUCGAUCUGCCUUCUCCAAAGAAUGCACGCGAGGUGCAGCGACUAACAGGACGGAUCGCCGCACUCAACCGCUUCAUCGCCAGAUCGACGGACAAGUGCUUACCCUUCUAUAACCUCUUAAAAAGGAAGGACAAGUUUGCAUGGGAUGAAGCGAGCGAAAAUGCUUUCAACGAACUCAAACAGUACCUCACGACGCCCCCGGUUCUCGCUAAGCCAGAAAACGGUGAAACGUUAUUUCUGUACAUCGCGGUAUCAAGCUCGGCCGUGAGCGGUGUGCUUGUUAAAAAUGACCGAGGCGACCAGAAGCCGAUCUUUUACGUCAGCAAGUCCCUUAUCGAAGCCGAGACACGUUAUCCCACAAUGGAAAAAGCUGCGCUAGCGGUCGUAACAUCUGCCAGGAAAUUACGUCCCUAUUUUCAGUCCCACACAAUCGCCGUUCUCACCGACCAACCACUACGAACCGCCCUACACAGUCCGAGCCAGUCCGGGAGAAUGGCUAAAUGGGCAAUCGAGCUCAGCGAAUACGAUAUGGACUUCAGGACCCGACCAGCAAUGAAAUCGCAAGUGUUAGCCGACUUCCUUAUUGAACUACCGCUCAUUCCAAAAAACCUAAGCGGCGACCCCGAGCCUGGCGACCCUCAGAACGGCGUCUGGAUGCUGUACGCCGACGGGUCCUCGUCAUCGCAUGGCUCUGGCGUCGGCAUACGACUGGUCUCACCAACCGGGGAAAUAAUCGAGCAAUCGUUUCGUCUGCGCUUUACGGUAACAAAUAAUGUCUCCGAAUACGAAGCACUCAUUGCCGGUCUACGCCUCGCCCUAGGAAUGAAGAUCAAACGAGUCCAAGCAUACGUGGACUCACAGCUCGUCGUAAAUCAAUUUAGCGGCGAAUACGAAGCCAAAAACGACACUAUGGAAGCAUACCUCAAGGUCGUCAAGAAGUUAUCCUCACAGUUUACACAUUUCGAACUAACCAAAAUCCCGCGAGGAGAUAACGCGCCGGCUGACGCUCUCGCUGCAUUAGCAUCCACGUCGGACCCCGACCUUCGACGUAUUAUCCCGGUGGAAAGCGUAGACCGACCAAGCAUCGAAGCAAUCGAUACUGUCAAUUUCGUCGGAACCAAUCACGAUCCGGACGCAGCCGACCCAACAGAUUGGCGGGUCGAAAUACGCGAUUUCCUCACCGAUGGAACGGUCCCAACGGAUAAAUGGGCAGCACGUCGAUUACGCAUCAAAGCCGCGAAAUAUACGACCUUGGAAAAUCGCCUCCUAAAGCUCAGCGCAACCGGAGCAUGGCUGAACUGCCUACACAGCGAGGAUAUCACAGAAAUAAUGAAGGAAACACACAUGGGGGCCGGCGGCAACCAUUCCGGCGGACGAGCUCUCGCAUUACAAAUCAAAAAGCAAGGUUUCUAUUGGCCGACUAUGAUAUCGGACUGUAAGGACUUCGCGGCCAAGUGCGACCAAUGUCAAAGACACGCGCCCUCGAUCCAUCGACCAACCGAGCUACUCAAGGUCGGUGCGGCACCAUAUCCAUUCAUGAGGUGGGCUAUGGACAUCGUCGGCCCGCUACCAGCCUCCAGGCAAAAACGGUUCAUCCUAAUCAUGACGGAUUACUUUACUAAAUGGGUGGAAGCCGAAUCGUAUGCGGCAAUACGAGCCAAAGAUGUCCAGAACUUCGUUUGAAAAUAUAUAAUAUGCCGACACGGCCUUCCAUACGAAAUCAUCACCGAUAAUGGCUCGCAAUUUAUCUCGCUGACAUUCGAGAAUUUCUGUGCGAACUGGAAAAUUCGUCUAAACAAGUCCACACCGAGAUACCCGCAAGGCAACGGGCAGGCCGAAGCGACCAACAAAACUAUUCUCGCCGGCCUCAAAAAACGCCUCGACGACAAAAAGGGAGCUUGGGCAGACGAGCUAGACGGAGUACUUUGGGCGUACCGAACUACACCCCGCAGUGCCACCACGCAAACACCAUUCGCGCUAGCCUACGGCAUGGAAGCAAUGGCCCCAGCCGAGGUCGGAUACUCAAGUCUUCGACGUUCUAUGAUGGCAGUCCGUCCCAACCUCAACGACCAGAUGAUGCUUGACAGACUCGACGAACUUGAGGAAAUGCGCAACACCGCACUAUGCCGAGUUCAGAACUACCAGCUUGCUGCCGCCCGAUACUACAACAAGAAAGUACACAACCGCCACUUCGACGUCGGCGACCUCGUACUCAGGAAAGUUUUCGAAAAUACAGCUGAACUCGGCGCCGGCAAACUAGGAGCAAACUGGGAAGGGCCGUACCAAGUCUCGAAGAUAGUUCGCCCCGGCGACUACGAACUCCUCACCAUGAGCGGCACCGAAGUCCCACGAACUUGGAACUCCAUGCACCUCAAGCGAUACUACUACUGACGACCUCGCUCUCCUUAUAUAUAAAAAAAAAAAAAAAAAAAAAAAAAAAAAAAAAAAAAAAGGUAGCUCGGCCUUACCGAUGCCUCUCUAUGUAAUGUGAACUACGAACGGCUUGAUCCCUCCGAUCAGAGGGUACGUAGGCAGCCCUGCUUGCAGGGCGCAGCUAUGAUAUUAAUAAAAUUUUGUAUUUCCAUCUAAUUUUGAAAUACAACCGAACCGAAAUAUACAUCGAUACCCUGGCCAGGCAAUUCGAUCGAACACGUUCGAACGAGAACGCACACCCUUACUUAAGUCUGCCAAAACAAGUAAAAAAGUCUUGGAAAAAACCUACACUUAAGGGUCUGAAAGCCGAGCUCCGUACUCGCAAAGCCUCGAUAAACUGGGUAGCAUAAGCCGGGGACGAACCCGCACUCCCAAAGAUUUAUCAGGCCAAUACAGGGUAAGCCGAUCACCGCGCGUCGCACCUCACGAUGUCUCGAGCCCGUCUCGAACACUCCGAGCAAACUCGGAAAAGCCGAAGUAGGUAAAACUUCGCACAAGCCAAGUCCAGCACUUGCAUCUUACCGACAGAAUAAACGUAUAGGCCGAGGACAGACUCACAAAUUCCCAACCGAUCAAGCCUACCAACAAUCAAAGUAACCUAGGCCUCGCAUCAGCUUGGUGAACUCGCACCAAGCCGAUCACGACCAGGUUUACACAGAAACCGGCCGCGUCCCGUCCUACACAGGAGCCGACCCCUGAAGAACAGGCUAAAAUAAAAGAAGGAAAAGAAGAAAUAAAUGGCGAAAACCACAUAAAAUAAGCCGACCUAGCGGCAAUCAUGUUCAAACAAACCGACCCAGCAAAAGUAAAGCUAAAAACCGAGUUAACGGCACGUGUUCAAAAGCCGACAAAGCGGCGACUAGAUAAAAAAAAAGUCGUCAAAAGCGGCAAAACGACAACUUUAAAAACGACCUCGCGGUCAGCCUUCGAUAUCAAUGUCCUCCCCGUCUUGGACAACCUGAGCUAACGGAGUAGCCACCCGCGGAACCUCCUGGCCGUCGCCAGUCUGCUCAGCGCCUGUGGCCUCGGUCCCAAAACCACCACCAUCCUGUAGUUCGGCCCCGGUCUCACGAGCUUCAACUGCGACCUCCUGCUGAGUGUCCUGAUUAACGGCAUCUUCUUCGACCUCGUCAUCUCCGACGAAGUCCCUUCCACUGGCAGCCGAAGCGGCAUACUGAAGGUUCUCAGUAACCUCGUUCCGGUCCGCGAAGAGGGUAUAGGCGUCAAAAUCGCCAUCCUGAAGUUCAGUCACGUCGAAGGCCGCAAGAUCAGCUCUGUACUGCGCCACGUCGGCCUCAACCCUGGAAAGCGUUUCCUCCGACUUAAUGACGACCUCGCCGUCUUCCACUAGAGCCUUCAGAAAACCAAGGUUCCCGACUGCCUGGUUGUAAAGCAGAAGAGUGGGCUGCGCGGCACGGGUAUCCUCAACAUGAGCCUGUAGACGGGUGAGACGAGCCUGAAACAGCCGGGCCAUCUUCGCAAGAGCUUUACCUCUACAGUACUCGCCGUACUCAGCACGACGUUCUCGCAGUCUAGCCUUUUCGGAGCGGAGGAUCACAGCGAGCUCGUCAUACCGAGCCUUCUCUGCCUCCACUUCGGCGCUCAAACGGUCCCUCUCCGCAAUCAGCCCAUUCCGGUGAUGAUCGAGAAGGUUGACCUUCUCCCUAAGCUUCACCGCCUCGUCCUUAACAGCACCCAACUCUCGCGAGACUUGAUCUACCCGCUCCUUCUCCGCAGCAAUGGCAGUCUGAUAAUCACUCGAAUUUGGGUUCUCGGUCGAAAGCCGACGAACUCGGCGCUCGUAGAGAUGAACCAUGCGGUUCAUCGCGAAAGUCGCCUGAUAAAAAUAUAUAUAAACAAUCGACCGAGGAAGGGUAACAAAAAUAUAUAUGCACAUAUAUAUAGUAAUAACCUCGCAUGAUUUCCUGGCCGCCUCGGUAUACGCAUCCCGCUCUCGAAGAUCCUCAAUUAGAGGGAACGAGCCGGGGCCAUGACCCAUCUCGCGGAAUAGAGCAGCACAGGCGUCAGCAUUAGAUGUAAAGGGAACAUCCCUAUCAACAUAGCGAUACGACCACCGGUGGUCGGCGACCCAAGGCCUCUUCUGGGCAAUCGGACGAGCUCCCGUAUCAGCCGGCCUCUUCCUGUUCAGAGGCUCGACUGAGCCACUCCGGGCUUCUACGGCCCGAAGAUCGUCACUUGGGGGAAGGAUUACAGCUCGGUCACCUCCACCAGCCUGCUGAGUUGAACGAGCUGCGAGCAUCUCGUUCUUCUUUACCCUCUCGGAGUUAGGGCUCAACGGUCGAGAACUUCCGGCCUAGAAGGCGUGACGCCCUCCUUGAUCUAAGAGACUCUUCUUCAGGGCCUCCCUCAUUUGUCGCUCCUCUGAGCGAGUAGGCUUUGCCACAGGAGUCUCCGUGGCCGGCCUCUUCUCCUUGUAACGACUGGCGUAAUCCGGAACCACACCAGGUCGAACUUACCCAUUGCUUUACGACCUAAAAUCAAAAAAGAAAAAAAAAUAUAUAUGAGCCAAGGGAACGAAAACCCGCAGAGGCGAACGAUAUAUGUGAUACCUGGUUUUGAUGGAGCGGAAACUUUGGAACUUUGACGAAUUGGCCCUCGACGAGAAGAACCUCGGCGACCGCGUGAAGGAUUCCAAGAGGGGCGGCGAGCAACCUUGUUAGUAGACGGCCAGAUAUACGUACCCUCGGCGCGAAUCUUUUCGAGAUCCUUCUUGAGCUGCUCGGGAAAUGGAUCAAAUAUCGUCGGGAAACGAGCUGCAUAAAAAAAAAGAAGAUAUAAGAAAAUCGAAAACAACCAAAGAAGAAGUGUGAGGGCGGAAGACGAGCUCAAGCUACCGGGUGAAAUUUUCCACCCUGUAUAGAUCGGAAUUCUAACGUCCUCAACAGAUUCUGCCGAAAUCCUAACAAAGAAGUAUCCCGCCGACCAGUCACUAGUUUUGCUCUUGGCCUCGUCGACAAGCUUAGGAGUCGUGGAUGACUGAACGUAGUGUAAGCCCGGCUUUUUCUUGCUGAGGCUCUUAAUCUUAGUCACCUCCUCGUAAUGAGAAGAACGAACAACCACGCUGCACCUACUCGCCAGCCGAACCAGGCCUACCGCAUUCCGGAUGGCAGCAACAGAAAGCUGAGAAAGAGCCAUCUCCCGCCUCGCUAAAUAUUCAAGCAGGAAGCCCGGAAUCGGAAAAGUGAGAUCGCAUUCCGUAAAGAAACUCUCAUAAACACAGAGGAAGCCGGCCGGAGCGGACCAAGGUCGCUCGAAUAAAGCCGAAAUGCGAGUUUCAAUCAAGGACGGAGCGUCACAGUAAUGGAGGGUAUACGCGAGGGUCUCAAAUGACGUCCGGGUCGGCCCCAGGAAGUCAACAUGAUAGGGAGACGGUUCGGGAACCCCGAAAGGCAUCUCAACGAGCUCAGGCUCAGCCUCCAGAUCGUCAAACUUGACAUCACCAAUAUCCUCAUCUCGGAAACUAGGAACGAAUGGAACGAUCGAGGUAGCCCCGACAAGAUCCCGUUGAGAGGGCGAAUCGCGACGUUGCAGUUCGGCCGCGAGAAUCGAGGAACCGGCGUCAGACGACCUCGACGAGUUCUGUCGACGAGGGGACGAGUUGGACUCCAGGUCGUCAUCAAAAGAAUUGGUUCGGAAUCGAUCAACGGAUGAUAUACGACCCGUAGAAUCAGACGAUGUACGAGAACGGAAGUGGUCGGAGAUAGAACCGUGAGAACUAGCGUCGGAAGACAUCGCAAUAAAACCAAAAAAAAAACGAGAUAAAGCGAGAGAAAACGAAAUAGAAAGGAGAAGAUUAUACCUUUAGCAGAGGAAGAAGAAUGAGAAACAGACGAGAGAAGAGGAAGUAUUUAUAGAAGUGGAAGGUGAUAAAUAAUCAUUAUACCUACGAAAUUAAGCAAUGAUUACGAGCUAAGAUAGCUUCACACGCGAAGGGACGCUUCGACCUCCAAACAUCGGGAGCAACGUCAGACGAAUCGAUUCUCGCGUCUCUCCCACGCGCGCGCGUCGCCGAAACUCGUAAAUCCGAAACGACGCGGAGAGAGGCGACCUCUUGCGUCUCUUGGGAAGGAGAAAAACAAUCAUGACCCUCGCAAAAAACGAUGAGUCAUGAUUGGGGGGCAACUGUUGAGGGAGAGAUUGGGCUUUAGAAGUAUAAAGGCCCAAUCCAAGAAAGAAAGCCCAUCAACGGAGCAGGCCUUAAAGCCCAUCAACGGAGCAGGCCUUAAAGCCCAAAAGCAUCAAAGCCCAGACGACCUCGCCGCCUUACGGGCCUGCCACGUCACCGGACCCAAGGGGUAAAACCGGUAAAAGCUGUCAGGGUACGCCCUAUUCCGCAGGGUUAUAAAAGCAGGACGACUAGUCCUGUCACAUCCAUCGAAAAAGACGCUGACACGGCAAGGACGCGAAGAGCUCGGCAAGGAUACAAAGAACUCGGCUAGGACACGAAGACCGAUCUCAAUCUAGAAAAAGAAAGCGACCUCAAUCUUCAUUCAGCUCGGAAAAGCGACCUCAAUCUUCAUUCAGUUCGGCCUCAUCGACGACCAGGAAUCCUUAAUCCGAAGUCAUCAAUCUCGGUUCGCCUAACGCCAUUUGAACUCUCGGCUCGAAUUGUUUUGGGAGAUUCUUUUUACUUCCCCAGAGAAACCCUAUUUCGUACUUGUGUGAUUCGUGCAUCAACACAACUGAUUCACAUUCUUUAAGCUGAGCCGCCUCAUCAACCACAAGAAGGUCGAUCGAUCCUGUCCUUACCGGAUUCAUAUCCGCAGCACCUGAUGCUGUGCAGAAGAUUAUAUCUGCAUUCUGUAGACAAAAUGUUUUUGUAUCUUUGUUUUCCAACAAGUCUGAAAUCUCAAAACGUUGCGGAAGUAAACGUAGAGUCUGAACGCAAUCAGCACUGAUUCUUUUAAAGCAAUCAAAUUUGAAACCUCCCUUCUUGAGAUCAUAUCUAGAAAAAUUCUCUUGCAAGAAAUAUCUUACGCGCUGAAGAACUUGACGAGCUGCGACCAUACUCUCCACUUGUUCAGACGAAACGAAAGACUUGGGAAGAUGAGUGUACAAAUCAACAAUAUUUUUCUCCAACUCUUCACUGAAGCCAUCAAAAGUCUUCUUUACAAACUCUCCAAAUGUAAGAAUCUUUACGGCUUUCGCCUUCUUUUCAGCUUCUUCCCUCAUUGUUUCGACUUCUUUCAAUAAGUCGACGUAAUGCUCGUACUUGGCCUCUGUAUUCUCAAGAAAGUUGAUCAGUGACUCUAAUCUCUGCUUCCAUCCAGAAGUUGGUGAAAACAGGUUAGCGAGUAUUCCAAUGCGCUCAUCAAGAAACACAUCGAGAAGAACAUCAUUCUCUUUAAUCCCCAUUCGAGCCCGGUUUCCAGAGAGAACAAUAUUCCCCAGCCCAUAAGUAGAAUGUUCUGGUGAAGAAGUUUCCUUAAAUAAGGACAUGGGCCUCGAUGUUACUUCUACAAUAGCUGUGUUUGUAGGAGCACACACAACUGUUUUGCACUUUAGCUUGAGAAGGCAAAAGAGAAGAGUUGCGACCGUCUUUGUUUUGCCAGUACCAGGAGGUCCCCAUAUCAGCUUCACACUGUGCUUGUGAAUACAGUUCCUUGUCUUAAGGCAGCUCAAGAUUGCAGCUUCUUGGGAAGAGUUCAGUUUCGCAGAACGGAUUAUAUCCGAAACACGGUCAGAACCAUCAGCACCAUUUGCACAACAAACAUAUUGUUCUGUUGCCUGCAACAUAAACAUAAAAUAAAGAUUUAUGAAUAUGCUACAAAAACAUAAAUAAAGAUUUAUGAAUUUGCUACAAAAACAUAAAAAAAAAAAAAAAGGAUUUAUGAAUUUGCUACAAAGAUUAUUUUAAAAAAAAAGAUUAAAAGAUUAUUGGUAUCACGUACCAGAGUAUUUUCCUGAAGCACACUCUUGAUUAGAGUUGAAUUGGCAGCUUCGUUGUGCAAAGCAUUCCAAAUUCGAGUGUUCGUUGUUAAAUUCAUGAGGAAAACACCAAACUGAAGUGAAGUCUCCUCGAGUUGGUGGUUCAGUUCAUGAUAAGAUAUCGAUCUAGACGAAUGAACAGAGAUUAUAAGAUCAUAGUCCGAGGAAACGUAGGCGAGAAGUAAAGGAUUCAAGACAUCAAUUCGUCUUGGCCUUUCCUUUGUUAGAGCAAUAAGAUCUCCACAUUUUGGCUGAUAGUUUGCACCAAUAGUACCCAAUGCAUUACUUAUUUUUAUAUCGUAGAAGAACUUGUUUGAUGAGCUUCCACUUGCUUCCUUUGUCUCCACGGAACAUAUUUGAAAGACAGGAGCUUUUGAUAAAGAUUUGAAGCUAGAAAACAACUCGGUCCGUGUUUCCUCAAGUAGAUGAGGAACAAAACACUGAAGGUAUUCAUCAACAGAUCUAAACCUGUCUGGUAUUGUCUUCAUCUGUUACAAAAUAUACAAUUGGUGAGGAAUAUAACGUAUAAACAUACCAAAGUUCAAAGCUAUAUAUCGAAGAAAGUUUUAGAAGAGAACAAAACCUUGUGCUUGUGGAGAUCUCUAUUGAGAAUAUCUUUGAUAGACCAAAAAUACUCUAUCGACCAGACUUGUUUUCUCAUAAUCAUGGUCCAUGGCCCUUCGUCUUUCUAUGAGAUUAUUCAUCGAAGCAAUAGCAAGAACUAUCCUGAGUUACGUUGAAAAUAACCCAAAUACGUAACUUGGUUUACAAGGCAAGAAAAUAGAAUGACAAGAAAAUAAUUUUUUUUAGAAGACAAGGCAAGAGACGAAGAAGACAACUCUGAAGUGAUCUCUCACUAUUAGUUUGGUCUACUUAUAAAGGAAGACGAAGGCGAAAGGUCCAAACAUAUUUUGGAAAUGAUCUUAAAUUCUAACAUUUUCCAAGAAAAUCUUGUAACUUGUUGAUAUAAUUAGCUUUUCUUUAAUAGUUUAUUUAAAUUAAAAUAUGAAGUGAUCAAUGAACCGAACAUGACACUUCUCAUGCAUAAAGUCUACAUACAGAGUUGGAUUUUAGAAUCAUUACUUUUGCACCCAAAAAAAAAAACAAAGAAUCAUUACUUUUUUUUUUUUUUCUUUUACUUUUACGAGAAAUUUAUUCAACCGUAAUGUUGUUUUUUCGCAUGGGGAAGAAGAAAGGUCGGGAGUUUUAGAACAAAGCAUUCAUGGUUGUGGACACAAGUUGCCUGCUUCUAGUCUUUUUUUUUUCUAAUAAUCAAACAAAAGGAUUGAGUUUAUAAUUUAGAGGAAGUUCUAAUUAAAUAAAAGCAAAUAUUAUAUGAUAAUUAUAAUUUUUUUUUUUUCUCAUUAUAGAACAUCAACCACAUUUACAACAUCUUCAUUCUUUCACGACAUCAAAAUAUUCAAGAUUCUCGAGGAAAAACAUGAAAAUCUUAUAUAGUUUUUGUUAAUAGAUACAUAUUUGCAUAAAUUAAAAUUUUAUAUGGAUAAUUGUUUUCUCAGAUUUUUUUUGUUAAGAGUUAUUAGGCGAGAAAACAACAAGAAAAUCGUUGCUCUGCAUGCAUGAUCAUGAAACGCAGUUGCAUAUUUGCGCCAUAUUUCCCGUCGACUAAUCUCGAAAUGUUUAAAAGCCUUCACAAAAUAUCGGGAACAGAUAAUAUUUUUAAGAUUCUUCUUAAUAACUUCCACAACGUAAAAUUGUUGUAAACGCUUUGUGUUACCAAACGGAGGCUCAUGAAUGUGAUCCCAUAUGUGGUUAUGUUUGCAUGUUCUACCAUUACCAAAAUCAGCUCAAAAAUUUAGAAGAACAAAUCAAUUCCCCAAAGAAUGAGUUGCGGACAUCAUUAGAACUGAUAAAAUGUCACAACAAUUAAGUCUUCCUAUGCCAUAUUGCUUUUUAACUACGAAUUAUUCUUUUUACAUGUCUUGUAUUGAGAAAAUACAAAAGCUAAACGAGGUUCAAAAGGUAUAAAGAAAGUAAAGAAAUCUAGGAAAAAUCAGUAGUAUUCAAUUUCUACGUUUAUGUUUUAGUGUUUUUUGGCUAACGUAUAUUGUUUAAUAUACGGAGAAAAAAAAAUUAAGUUAUACUCAGCAGAGUACAAAUAUCGUUGAAAAAAAAAAAAAAAAAAGAAGAAAAAAGUAUAAUUGGUUCUUAAGAAAUGUUAAAGAAAACAAAUCCGAGAGGUUCACUUUCGUUGGCUAGUUUAACUAUGCUAAAAAUAGGCGUUCUUAAGGAGUGAAAAAUAUAGAUGGUGACGUAAAUACCGCAAAACAUAUAUGUUUUAUUUCAUUUGAUAAACUAAUACGAAUAAAAAUUAAUAAAAAAAAAUAGUGAUGAUGAAGAAAAUGAAGAGUAAGCGAAAGACUAAAAUUGUUCCCGAAAUGACGCACGUCCACAUCUGUUGAAAAAAACAUCAGUCAUGGAUCUAUCGUCUUCUCUUGGAUCUAUCGUAUUCUCUCUCUAUCGAAGAUCAUUAUCGUUUGUUUUACGUCAAAUCUUGAUAUGAAAGAUUAGUUUGCAUGGUUAGGCAUUUCCCCAUCAAUGACGACCAGAGUGUCCUGCCUACCCAUUUUGGGUUUUGGCCGGGUAAUUCAACCACCCCGGGAGAGGUCACUAGUCGUGUCUUCUCUCCCAAACUUCCGGUGGUAUGCCGGCAACUUCAUAGUAAGCAACCGUUUGGAAUGUUCAAAGGCGAAAAUGCGAUGAACUAUGCAUUUUCGACUUUUUUAAUCGAAGCAAUCAUCAUCAUUUUCUGCAUCAAAUUCGUUAGUUUCGUCCUUCGACCUCUUCGCCAACCUCGUAUAGUCAGCGAGAUCAUUGUUCGUCACCGAUCUUAUAUUUGCUUCUUUUUGUAGUUGAUAAAAUCCGUUUUGGAGCUAAUAUGGACGUAAUGUGUUUUGUGUGUUUGAAGGGUGGAAUGAUGAUAGGACCAUCAAUGCUUGGAGGAAGCCGAAAUUUCAAUUACUAUCUGUUCCCACCGAUCGCGAACUACAUAUGCGCAAACAUAGGACUAAUGGGAUUCUUCUACUUCCUCUUCCUCACGGCCGCGAAGACGGAUGUUGCAUCCAUUGGGAGAGCACCAAGAAAGCACAAGUACAUUGCUGCCAUUGGUGUUAUCGUGCCAAUUAUCUGCGUGGGAGCCGUGGGGAUGGCCAUGCGAGAUAAAAUGGAUGAAAACUUGAAGAAGCCUUCGUCCAUUGGGGGGAUCAUGUUCGCCUUGGCUUUCACCUCUUUCCCUGUCAUUUAUUCUGUUUUGAGAGACAUGAACCUUCUUAACUCCGAGGUGGGCAAGUUCGCCAUGUCGGUGGCUCUCCUUGGAGACAUGGCAGGGGUCUACGUGAUUGUUAUUUUUGAAGCCAUGACGCAGGCUGACGGAGGAGGAGCAUAUGCUCUCUUUUGGUUUCUAGUAUCGGUGGUAAUCUUCGCGGCUUUUAUGCUUUUGGUUGUUAGACGAGCCUUUGAUUGGAUUGUUGCCCAAACGCCUGAAGGAACACUUGUGAACCAAAACUACAUUGUCAUGAUUCUCAUGGGUGUCCUUGCCUCUUGUUUCCUCACCGACAUGUUCGGUCUUUCUAUAGCCGUAGGACCCAUUUGGUUAGGGUUGCUGGUCCCUCAUGGCCCACCGUUGGGUUCGACGUUGGCUGUUCGGAGCGAGACCUUCAUCUAUGAAUUUUUGAUGCCUUUCUCUUAUGCUUUGGUGGGACAAGGCACCAAUAUUCACUACUUUAGAGAUGAGACAUGGCGUGAUCAGCUCUCUCCUCUCUUCUACAUGACCCUCGUCGGCUUCUUCAGUAAGUUUCUCUCUACCGCUGCCACUGCUCUCUUCUUCAAAGUCCCCGCUAGGGACAGUCUCACGCUUGGGUUGAUGAUGAACUUGAGAGGCCAGAUGGAUAUCUUGGUCUACUUGCAUUGGAUCGAUAAACGUAUUGUGGGCUUUCCAGGUUUCACUGUCAUGGUUUUGCAUUCGGUUGUAGUCACGGCCGUAUCGACGCCGCUCAUCAGCUUUCUCUACGAUCCCACUCGGCCAUACCGAAGCAGCAAACACCGCACCAUCCAACACACUCCUCAAAACACCGAGAUGGGACUGGUUCUUGCAGUCUCCAACCACGAAACCUUAUCCGGCUUGAUAACUUUCCUCGACUUCGCCUAUCCCACUAAAAGUAGUCCCUUGUCUAUAUUCGCAGUCCAGCUUGUGGAACUAGCAGGGAGAGCCACGCCGUUGUUUAUUGACCAUGAGCAGCGAAGGGAGGAGGAUGAAGAAGAAUACGAGGAGGAAGAAGAAGACCCUGACCGUACAACGCAAAGUGGGCGAAUAGACCAAGUCCAGAGUGCCUUUAAGUUGUACCAAGAGAAAAGAGAUGAGUGUGUAUCGCUUCGUGCCUACACCGCUCAUGCUCCAAAACGUCUCAUGUACCAAGACAUUUGCGAGCUGGCCUUGGCUAAAAAAGCCGCUUUCAUUCUCUUACCUUAUCAGAAAGAGCGUCUUGAAGACGCUGCCCCUACCGAGCUACGUGACUCCGGCAUGCUAUCUGUGAACGCAGACGUAUUGGAACACACACCUUGCUCUGUAUGUAUCUACUUUGACAAAGGACGGCUUAAGAACGCGGUGGUUCGGUUAUCCAUGGACCUACAACACUCAACAAACUCAAGCCGUAUGAAACAAGAAACAUACCGUUUCGUGGUUUUGUUUCUAGGAGGAGCUGAUAACAGAGAAGCUCUACAUUUAGCCGAUAGAAUGUCGACAAACCCGGACGUAACCUUGACGGUGAUCCGAUUCUUGGCGUUCAACCACGAAGGAGAGGAUGAGAGAGAGAAGAAGCUAGACGAUGGGGUAGUCACGUGGUUUUGGGUCAAGAACGAAGGAAACGAUAGGGUUAGUUACAAAGAGGUUGUAGUUAAAAACGGUGCUGAGACAUUGGCUGCGAUCCAAGCAAUGAAUGUCAACGACUACGAUCUAUGGAUAACCGGAAGAAGAGAAGGGAUCAACCCAAAGAUUCUUGAAGGUUUAUCCACGUGGAGCGAAGACCACCAGCUUGGAGUCAUCGGAGACACCGUGGCUGGAAGCGUUUUCGCCUCCGAGGGAUCGGUGUUGGUGGUGCAGCAACAAGUAAGGAACCAAAAAGGUGGUGAUGGUUUCUUGAAUGGCAAGUUUGAUUACAAGAGUUUCUUAUCUCCUUGGUCUCACUCUCAUAAUUGAUUAGGUUAAAUUUUUGUUUGAGGAUUCGUGUGAAUCAAAAACCAAUUGAUUAGGUUUCUUUUAGUUUGAAUAUCGUGUUGUAUAAUCUGUAUUAUUCAGUGGUUUCGCUUUUUUUUUAGUUGUGUCUAAAUUCGAUACACGACGUAAUAAAUAAAUUCCAAUAUAGAAGCAGCUUCAUUUCUGAAAAUAGGUAGAAAAACAUUUACCUUUCUUAAAAAACAUAUAAAAAAUCUUCACUUUUUUUUUUUUUGGAUUUUUAAACCCUUAUAUUUUCAUAAAUGGUACAAUAAAUCAUAUUAUUAAUAAACUCAAUUUAAAUUCAAACAAAUCUUUACACUAAAACAUAAAUAAAUAUAAACAAUUUGAUUUAGGAUUUUUCUUCUAAAAUUCUAGUUUUUUUAAAAAAAAAUUUUCUAAAUUGAAGUUUUUUAAGUCAUGAUAUAAAAAAGUUAAUUAAUUAAAAUUGUAUUCGGUUGUGUUACAAAAAUUUAUCAACCGGAAACCAAACAGAUUUUAUUACAAAUAAUAUAUAAAUUUUUGUAGCACAUAACCUUAAUUUUAGAAAGAAAAAUUGCAAAAAAACAAUUAUUUUUGAAAAACAGUCAAAAAUUAAAUUAUUUUUGUUUUUAACUGUUUUAAUAUAAAGAUUUUUAAAAAAUUAAGUUGAAUUUAUUAAUAUUAAGAUUUGUUUUCACUUAAGAAAAAAAUGAGAGUUUAAAAACCUAAAAAAAAAAAAAAGUGAGGGCUUUUGGGGAUUUUCUACACAUUUCCCCACAAUUUCACUUGCAAGUAGAGCUUUAGUAAUUUGUUAAAGGCCCAAUGGGCCGAUCAGACUAUUUCUAAGAAAAAUAACCUAAAAAGAGUCACCGUCGUCGUCGUCUGUCGACUCUGAAAUCCGCCGCUGCGCUUCCAACGUCGCCGGCAAUCUAAACAUUUUCCGGGAUGGAGGAAGAGAUGUCGAACCGUCGAGUGUCAAAUCGGACUCGUAAGGUCGCUACGAAGAUGGCGGCGGCUCUUACAAGCAAUGACAAUCGAACUCAGGUGAUUUCGGAAUCAGUUUUUGAUUUUUGUGUUGGGAAAAAAAAAAUUGAAUCGUCUUUCAAAAAUGAUUGAUUCUAGGCUGCUAUAGCUCGGCUAGAGGCUUUAGAGAAUGAUAAUGGUGCUAUUGAAGUGGUAGAUAUGAACGAUGAUGACGAAGCUUCUCUCGAUGAAGACGAUGAUCUCGGUGAAUAAAUCUUUCACAUUUGAAGAUAUCUCUCUGUGUGAAUAUAUAGUUUUAGUUUAAUCUCUGUUUUUUGGGUGUAGGUUAUGUACAGAAGAAGCAACACAAAGGAUCAAAGCGUAAAACUCGACAAGCGAAAGCUUUAGAAGCUCGUAGAGCUCCUAAAUCCUUCCUUGAGCUGUUGCAGGAGGUAACUAACUUAACUCGUUUGCAGCUAAGCUCAGUUAUUAGUAGUUUGGUUCUAAGAAUCAUUUGUUUUAGGCAAAUUUGGAAUCUUUACCUGCGCAUGUACCGACUUACUUGAAAGCAGCUGUUGGACCUCCGAGUUCGUCUUCUCGUCGUCAUUUCUGCUCGGUUUGUGGUUACAUUGCAGGCUACAAUUGUUGUUUAUGUGGGAUGAGGUUUUGUUCUAUUCGUUGUCAAAACAUUCACAAGGAUACUCGUUGUCAGAAAUUUGUUGCGUAGGAAAGAGUGAAAACAUAUGUAACAUAUUUUUCUAAAUGUAUUUGAAACAUCAAUCAAUCUCCAUGUUCCUGUCAUGAAUUUGUUUUCAAAAUGAAAAUAGCUAAGGAAAGCAGCUAUCUUUCUCUGAAGUGUUAUUAUGAUUAAAGAUCAAACAUGGGACAUUUGUUGCUUGAGAGUUUCCAGUAGCUUUCUCUUUUAGAUUCACAGCUCUGGAGAAAGUCACGGAGGACUCUUUCUUGCGCCAUGGCUGUUUUACAUGCUGUAUCUGCCGUGCUCCAUAAUUUCAGUGCUUCAAAGAUGUGAUUUGCACCGUAUGAUUGUUUGCUAGAUGCAAUGAAACUCUCUAGAACCCCAAGAACCAGUCUUGGUCCUCCUGUUGCGUCUCCAUCUCUCUUCAGAGUUGACAGAAACAAGAGUUUUUGGAGCAGAGAAGAGUUGUAUUGGAGAAAUACUCGCGCAGGCUAUAUGCACACCCUGUUAUUAGGAACAGUGAAGAGUGGAAAGUGUUUCUUCAGGUGCAAGGGAAGUUGCCACUACCAAUGGGCACUAAUGUGGCCUCUAGGAUGUUGGAUGGCGUGGUGAAGCUUCCGAAACAGUUGUUUGGUGACGGCAGAGCCUCUGCCGUGCCAGUGCAUGAGGUAGUUCAGCCUGCCAGAGGAGGUAGGGAUAUGCUGAGAUUAUUCAAGGAGCUGAUAAACCACCAGUUGUAAAAGAAGAUAAAGAAUUUUUUGGAAAAGAUGGAGAAGAUGCAUGAUGUUGAGCAACAAAUAUCAAUGCCUCACAACAGGUAAAAUUUCAUCCUUGUUACUUGAAUUAUGCAUCAUUCUGUUAGUACAUACUAGUAUACUGCUAGGAACAAACCUUUUUGCGGAUUCUUCUGUAGACAGAAUCCCGUGAAGGCACAGCAAGACAUGAACUAGGAUUAGCAUUUUUAUUAAGCUGACUAAGUUGGAGAACGAAGAAGCUGUUUCCAACGCCCAAAGAACUCGUGCUAAUGAAAUCAAGAAUUUAGCCACUGCGGCUGUAAAAGCAAGCAGAUUUUAUAGAGUUGAAUUCCCAGACUGUCAAACAUUUGGUAAAUAUCUAUUGAACUACGAAAACAUACAGUUGCAUCAUUACUCUGAAUCAAAUGAAAUGUUGUUUUCUUUGAUUUCUAAAAUCUCCUCAUGCUUAGCGUGCAUCCUUAUUAUAGACUAGUGAACUGUCGGCUUAUAUAUGGAGAUUUUGCUGGACUGUAAGCUUCCCUAAGAGCUGUUCUUUGAUUUGAAUUGUUCAUUUCAGGACAGACUCCAUGAGUACCUUGACAUGAUGAUGGCUGUCCAAGGCGCAUUUGCAGAGGGUGCAUCAUCAAAGGUAUUUGGUGGUGACAAAUCAAGGAUCUGAGGAAGCAAAAACCGUUGCCAUCACAGAGUAUGAGCGGGUCAAGGUAUUCAGUAAUAAAACCCUGCGCAUAUCACAACUUGUGCUGAUGUAACCAACAGCAGCAUGAUAUGCAUUUUUUGGUUGUGCUCUGGGUAAAUUUCUAUCACUGCAGAAAAACAACUGAUCUGGGGUUGAGAGGUUGGACAGAAAAAGGCGUGCAGACUUCAGGAACAUGAAGGGUUUUGUUGUUAACCAGGUACGCUAUCACUAUGCAGCACAUUACCAUUAGAAGGUUAAGCCUUUCCUUGUUGCCAAUAAAAGUUUGUCUGUGUAGAAUGAGUAAGAAUGCUAAGGAGAUUGUUAAGGUUAAGCAUAAAGUGUUUGCUUCCAUAAUUUCCAUUCUUAGUGAGAUUUCAAGUGAAGAAUUUGAAAAAGUAAAAUAAUAAGAUGUCAUUCUUCUAGGCAAAUGAAUAGGAAUAAUAAUUUAUAAAUUUGGUAGUGAUCGAAUAGAGUCCAGAAUGUAAAAAGAAAGAGUUGUGUUCUUGAAUUGGAUGUAGAGAAACUAGGAAACGUCUGGGAAAAAGUUGCAGAAGAAACCAGCCAAUACGAUAGAUAGAGAGACAAGCGCUAGAGAUAAAUUUUCUUAUAAACCACUUCGUUUCAGUGAGUUUGAUUGAGAGAGAAAUUGAUCCAUUGAACUUGAACCAUCAUCUUACUCAUAAACCGGCCGGUUAAUCCCCUGCCCGGUUAGCAACAAUAAGAAGCGAGACCAACAUUAGACUAAUAGCAUACAGAAGACAAUUCGUAUUUUUUCAUUUUUUUUUUUUGUUUUUAAAAAGUGACAUUUUAUGUAAAUUGGUGAAACUAGGAAAAAAAGAAAGAAAAACUCUUCGAAUUCUAGCUAGACCUUUCGACUUCUUCCUUACAUAGACCGAGCAACUCACUCGGCUUUUCACUCUUGUUUUUAUGUACCAAUCUUUGGCUUGUUCUUUGUCAUAAUAUCGCAAGAAAGAAAGUUAGUAAACUUCAAAGAUCAUGGACAAAAAGGAGAAAACAGGUCUACUUGAUAGAAUCUUUUCUUGGUCUAUCAAAGAUAUUCUCAACAAAGAUCUCUACAAGCAAAAGGUUUUUCAUUUCUUUUAACCCUUCUUUCCUUGGAUGACAUCUUAUUUGGUACUUAAAUUGGAUAGUCUAUUUUUGUAACAGAUAAAGACAAUACCAGACAGGUUUAGUUCCACUGAUGAAUACUUCAAGUGUUUUGUUCCUCACCUACUUGAGGAAAUGAGAACCGCGUUAUGCUCAAGCUUCAAAUCUAUAUCGAAAGCUCCUCUCUUUAAAAUAAGUUCCUUGGAGAAAAGUACACAUGAAUCCAGUGGAAGCUGCAACAAUUUUCUACACACUCUAAAACUAAUGGAUGGAGAGAAUGAUGCAAAGUACCAGCCACAUUGUGGAGAUCUCAUUGCUCUCACGAAAACAAAACCAAGAAGUUUCCGUGACUUGAACCCGUUGCUUCUUGCCUAUGUUUCUGUGGAUAAUCAUCCCAAAAUCUGGGACGAAAAAAGAGAAAGGCAUCCAAAUAUCUCUGUUAUUUUGUCUAGAUUAAUGUCCCAUGAUGAGAAAGUUUCACUUGGUUUCGGUGUUUUCCUCAUGAAUUCAACUACAAACAAUCGUAUAUGGAAUGCUUUGCACCAUGAAGCUCCCAACUUUGAUUUCAUCCAGAGUAUUCUUCAGCCAAAUACAGCGGUAUGUAUAUAAGAAAUGGUCUUGCUUCUCUUGAUUUUAAAUGAUUCAUAUCAAACCAUAUAACUACUGUCUCUGGAUGUCUAUCAAGUCUAGCUCGAACGUAAUCCCUUUAGUUCAUGGAUCCACCAGAAAGUUUUUGUUUAUCAAUUGUGAAUUUGUUAUAUUUCAGGGUAUCAAACAAACUGUUUCGUCUAGGAAUUUGGGACAAAAUGUUUUGGAUAUAAUCCGUUCAACGAACUUGAACUCUUCCCAAAAAUCUGCAAUCUUGAGCUGCCUUGAGACUAGAAACAGUAAACAUAAGAACAGUGUGAAACUGAUAUGGGGACCUCCUGGAACAGGCAAAACAAAGAUGGUUUCGACUCUUCUCUCUGCCCUUCUCAAACUACGGUGCAAAACAGUUGUGUGUGCUCCUACAAACACAGCUGUUGUAGAAGUAACAUCGAGGCUAUUGGCUUUAUCGAAGACUUCUUCAGAACAUGCUAGUUAUGGAUUGGGGAAUAUUGUUUUAGCUGGUAACCACAACAGAAUGGGGAUCAAAAAUGAUGAUGAUCUUCGCAAUGUGUUUCUUGAUCAUCGCAUCAGUAGUUUUCAGAAACUGUUUUUGUCACCUUAUGGAUGGAAGCAGAGAUUUGAGUCAGUGAUACAUUUUCUUGAAAACACAGAGGCCGAGUUCAAGGAAUAUGUACGCGGAUUAAAAAAGAAGGAGAAGAAGAAGGAAAAAGUUGAAAAGAAGAAGGAAGAACUUGAAAACAUGAAGGAAGAAUCUGAAAAGAAGAAGGAAGAAGUUGUAAACAUUCCAACAUUUGGAGAGUUUGUAAAGAAGAAGUUUAAUGGCUUAAGUGAAGGAUUGGAGAAAGAUAUGGUUGAUUUGUGCACCCAUCUGCCUAAGUCUUUGAUCUCGUCUAAUGAUGUGAAGAAAAUGAUAGAAGCUCGCCAAGCUCUUCACCGUGUUAGAUAUUUCUUGCAAGAGAAUUCUUCUACGUUUGAUUCCAAGAAGGGAAGUUUCAAAAGAAUCAUCAGUGUUGAUUGCAUUCAAGCUUUAAGUUUGAUACCGAAACGAUUUAAGGUUCCAGAAUUGUUUGAAAAUGAAGAAGAUAUUAGGAAAUUCUGUCUACAAAACGCGGAUAUAAUCUUCUGUACAGCCUCAGGUGCUGCAGAAAUGAAUGGUGAAAGGACAGGAAAUGUAGAAUUUCUUGUGGUUGACGAGGCGGCUCAGCUUAAGGAAUGUGAAUCAGUUGCUGCAUUGCAACUUCAGGGACUGCGUCAUGCUGUUCUACUAGGAGAUGAGUUUCAGUUACCUGCAAUGGUUCAUAACGAUGAAUGCGAAAAGGCGAAAUUCGGAAGAAGCUUGUUUGAGAGAUUGGUUACACUUGGUCAUAGCAAACACUUGCUUGAUGUUCAAUAUCGAAUGCACCCUUCGAUUAUUAGUUUCCCUAAUAAAGAGUUCUAUGGUGGGAGAAUCAAAGAUGCUGCUAAUGUUCAAGAAAGCAUUUACGAAAAGCGAUAUCUUCAAGGAAACAUGUUUGGCUCCUUCUCGUUUAUCAAUGUAGGUCAUGGAAAAGAAGAGUUUGGUGAUGGGCAUAGUCCCAAGAACAUGGUUGAAGUUGCUGUGAUUUCUGAAAUCCUAUCAAAUCUUUUCAAAGGUAUAAUCUUUCCAUCUUUAAUUCUAUAUCAGUAUAUAUUAGGCUGUUGCAUUGUUCUUUUUAAUUAAUUUUGCUUAAUUAUGAAACAGUUUCAAGUGAAAGAAAGAUUAAUAUGAGUGUUGGAGUGAUUACACCUUAUAAAGGACAAGUGAGAGCAAUCCAAGACAGAAUCAUAGAUAAGUACAGUUCCUUAUCAGGUGAGCUUUUCACAUUGAAUGUUCGGUCGGUAGAUGGGUUUCAAGGUGGUGAAGAAGAUGUUAUCAUCAUCUCCACCGUUAGAAGUAACUGUAACAGGAAGGUUGGAUUUCUCAGUAACCGUCAAAGAGCCAACGUGGCGCUCACUCGAGCUAGACACUGUUUAUGGGUGAUUGGAAAUGAGACAACACUAGCUCGGAGUGGUUCAAUUUGGGCGAAACUUGUAAGGGACUCGAAGAGACGUAAAUGCUUCUAUGAUGCUAAAGAUGAUAAGAGAUUGAGAGAUGCCAUGAAUGAUGCUUUGCUCAAGGUUGACAAGUCUGAUGUGUGUGCACGUUUAAGUAAUCUUUGGAUCAAAAAGAAAGGGAGAAAAUGAAUUAUUGGUACUUCAUUUAUGUCAUUCUUCUAUGUAAGUUUUUCCAACAUUCUUUUGUCUUUCGUGUUCUAUGUCAUUGCAUUUAUGGUAACAUUUGUGAUUAAUGGUUUGUGUUUUAAUGAUUUGGCUGGUUUGGUUUCACACCUUAUGGUCUCACAAGUGUUGUUAUACGAGUUCAACCAAAAAAAAAGUGUUGUUAUACGAGAAGAAGAGGAACAAAAUACUAGAAAAGUUUAGUUACCUGAGACAACUAAUAAAGGUUCUUAUGUUUAUGACGAGAGUGUCUGUCUAAUACAAGCUAAAGUACGCCCAAAAGUUUCAGGACCCAUACUUCACAAAUAUGAUUAUGUUUCUUUCUAAAAACGUCAAAAUGAGAGAGAUGCGAACGAAUGGCAUAUAAAGAUCAGUGGAAGUGUCUUCAAACGAAAACAAAGGCUCCCGCAAUGUAGCAGGAUAUAGGAUCUACACCCAAACAGCUUCUAGAGAUGGGUCGGGUUUUGCGGGAAUGACCCACCACUGCCUUCACCAUGAUCUCCCAUUUGCUGCACAUCUUCCGGCGAUAGUAUCUUUAUGUACCAAACGUUAUUCACAAAUGACCUGCAUGCCACAAGCUUUUCAAGAUCUAUCACAAAUUUAAAUCAAUGUAUAUGAAUAGAAGAAAAGUACUUUACUUACUCCCACGGGUCAUCGCCAAGGAGAAGAAUAUCAUUUUCCUUGUCAACGAAUACAAGCUGCCAGCCUGAUCUAAGGGGGUCUUCCAACAACCCUUCGAUAGCAAACAUCUUCCCUAACUCUUCUCGCAGCUCGUGAUAGCUGCUGAAUCGGGAGAUGUCUAGUGAACGCCCAACCGAACCAGAUUUAUAAACCUGCAUUUUUGGAUUUGUAAGCAUAUCAGUAUUUUCUUAGAGACACCAGAGCCACAGAGAAGUUGGUGAGCCCAGAACCAACCAGCACACCUUUACAAAGUUCUUGGUUUGGGUGGACGGGUUAAUCUGUCCAGCUCCAUGCAAUAACUCAUGAGUGUCUUGCAUGCAGCCAAAUAAGGAAUUCUGAAAUCCUGAAUCUGUUAGUGACAUAGGGGAAGCUUCAGCAUCUCCUGAUGAGGAAGCAAAGCGAGGAACCGUACUGGGGAGGAAGAGUCCAGAGUCAGGAUCAACACCAAAAAGAGAGGGAUUUCCAGGUUCUAGAGCAAGACUUUUCCCAGGAUAGGCUUGUGGAAGUGACAACGGUUCAGAAAAAGUGUUGGAUGCUUUUGGAGACCAACCUUCUGUUGUUAACUGCUCAGGCAGUACAGACUGACCGGUUAUAGAAAAAUUCAAAAGAUUGCUGCCAUCUCCAGAAGCCGGAGAGGCAGAGUUCUGUUGCAUUGGACUAGCAGUUGUUGCAAAUUUGUUGCUUGAGUCAGGAAAAUCUGACUUCAUGAAUGAAGGUGACGGCAUCUCCGAAUGCUGCCACUGUUGAAGAUGGCCAUUUUGCAUUUUGAAAGCAUUAAGAUAUGCAUUUUGGUCCGCUUGCUGUAGCUGCUGCUGUCCAGCUGGUUGGUUACUAACUUCUUGUCGCAUAUUCUGCUGCGGAAGAUUCUCACUCAUAAUCUGGGAUUGAGCAUGCAUGAGAUGGCGCGCUUGUUGAUGCUGCUGCUGCUGAAGCAUCAAAUCAGGAUUAUGGGAAGCUGACUGUUGAAGAUAUUGUUGGUGAGGCUCUUGCAGCUGGACAAACUGUUGUCUAAGAGGAUCUCCACCGCCGAUGUUCUGCAAUCCAGCAGCUAACAUUGCUUGGUAUUGCUGAUUAUUAUCAGUCCCCAUUUGAGUGAGAUCCAGCCUUUGUUGCAUCCAUGGAAACAAACCAACAGAUGGAUAAUUUAGAGGAAGCAAACCUUGCUGCUCUCCACCUCCUCCUCUUAGCCAUGUUAGACCACUUCCUAAAUCACCCCUUCCAUCUGUAACAUCAUAAUGGUUUAAGUAAAUAGCUAAGAAGAGUAACUACACUUUGUAAAUAAAUUAUAACAGUAAGACCCUCUUCAGAGCUCGUAAUACAUUUCUUAUUUAUCCGAACUAGCAACUAAGUUAACAAAACAAAAACUGGAUAUCUGAGUGACAGUAAGAGACUUCCGGAACUUGCUACACUAGUUAAUAACAGUUAGGAGAAGAGCCAAAAGGUGGAUACCAGGUAAUGAUGAUGUGCCAGCAUGCCAUGGACGUUUUAGUCUGAGAGGAAACAGAGAUGGAUACAUAGGAAAGGUAGUAAGAGGCUCAAUCUCCCAUAAAGAAACCCUUGGCUGUCUCUCCCCUGCAGUCGAUUCAUCCCAGCCAACCUACACCAAUAAUGCCAAUGUUGAUGGAAUUUCAGUGAAAUAUUGGACUAUCAGAAACCUGUGGCGUUUCAUGGAAUCUAAAUGAGGUAACAGGCUUAAUAGUAUUACCUUGACAGACCGCCAAUGAGAGUUUGGCCAACGAACAGAAUCUAGAUCACUGAUACCAGUUAUAGUACCCAUGUACCUGGAAAGUUCCCCAUGCCUCUGUCAGAAAACAUGUUAAAGUAAUAUGUGUAACAUAAUGAUAUAGUUUUCUCAGUUUCAACAUUGCAUGUCCAGAUAUGUGGCAUCAUCACCUGCGGACACUCGACUCUUCUGUCUCGAAGAGCAUGCGAAAGCGCAUCCCAACUGAAAUACGCGUGUGAAAAACGGCUUUAAUGUACUUGGAAAGUUGUAUCACAAACUCAGAUUGGCUAGCCCUGAACAUGAAGAGAAUAUUAGCCGGAUGUAUUAUCGGAUAUACCGAGAGAUGAAAAAAGAUGCAAGUGGGAGAGAUUUUCCAACCUUGGAUGAAAGAAAACAGUGAAACAGCUAUUAGUUGCAGAAGCAUGUGCAGCAGCAGCAAGGAGUCCAAUAUGCAUGCUAUCACUAGAUAAAACAGAUGAUGGUACAAUAGUCUGUGGCCGAGUGGCAUGACGUAUUCCCAAAAAGAGUUGAUUCUUUUCAUUCCUGGAAACAAGUAAUAAGGUUACAAAUAUAAUCACAAUUUACAAAGUGAACGUACAACAAAAGAACUAAACCUGAUGAAAAUGACAGAAUCUCCAGCUACUAGUCGCUUAGCACUGACAAAGACACUCCAUCCAGUAGUUAGGAGAUGCCGUUUGGGCUGUCCUGCAUAAUCACACCAAAUCCAUGUAAGUAAUUGCUUUCAGACCAAGAAGAAGGAUUCAAAUCAACUGGCUUAAUAUGAACAAGUAAAUAAUUCCAGACAACGACAAGAACACAGAGCGUCCGUAGUUUCUAUAACUUAACCAAACAAGGGUAGUGAAAAUAACAGCAGAAUGCUGCUUCAGGACAUACUUAAUAAACCAGUUGACAUUUUUACACUGGCGACUACAGUUAAAAAGAAUGUCAUCGAAGUAGUAACCAACCAAGAUAGAACAAAUCUAUGCUAUUAAAGGGAUCAUCAACUCACACCAAGGAAAGGUGAAACCUACCCCGAAAGAUAUGCCUAAACUUCCAUUCAACAUCAUGGAGAUCCCUUGCAAUCAGUUCUUGAGCUGGUGGCUGCAGUGUGUAAUCCUGCAACAGGGAAGAUACAAGAUAUCAAAACGAGUACAUAUAUUGCCAAUAACAAUUUAUAGCAAGUAAGCUAAAGAAAAAGUAUUAUACCAAUGGAGGAAAAACUUUCUCAGCAGCACGUCUAGGAACAGAAAACCCUCCAUGUGUACUAGUAUCACUAGCUGUGAGAGUCUUACAGAAAUAAUUGCUAGGUUGCUUGCUCGGGAUCCCCAACUCAAUCGGUACAAAUGUUUCCUUCUGCUCCUCCUAUAAACAACACCAAUUCUAAAACUUUAAGUUACUUAUUCACAGACUCAACUAAAUGAAAAAAAACCCGUUAUGGUAUCUACCGGUGUCAAUGGCUGAAGUGUCAUUUGAGCAUAGACUUCAUCCGUCUCGACAUCUGCCUGAAAAGUAGAAACGAAACCCAUACUUACAAAGCACAUCAUCCCAAAACUAGUUACAAAAGUAAAAUUGAAGUUGGAAAAGGACAGGGAACUAACUACGCACAUGCAUUGUAACAUUAUGGAGCUGGCAUAUCAAUUGUGGUGGUAGGCUUGGGUAAUUGGGUAUGUGACCAUCAACUUCCUUAUUAGUUGUAGCAGCUACCUACAAGUACACUUCAAUUUAAAUGGAAAUGCCCAAAUAUAAACAAGAGUAAAAAAAUAAAGCUCCAUACUUCACACAAAGAAAAAAAAAACCAAUCUUAAAACACAAAAGAAAAGCUUGAACCUGUUCACUGUGACCCUGUGGAAAGUAAACAACUCGACUACCAGAUGAUGGAAGAGAGACUAAUGGUCCAGCACAAGCAUGCCAUAGCUCAGAAUUCAGACACUUCUCUCCUGUUAGAAAACACAGACACAAGAACUAAGAAAACUUGUCAAGAAACAGAACUAUGAAAUCAGAGAAAAACAAGUCACCUUCAUGACCCUGUUGACCCAAUCCAGAUGUUGACAGCUUCAUGAUUUGAAAACCAAACUUUUGAAAACCCUAAUUUUCCGUACAAACUAUAAAAUUAAUCUUCACUUCCAGCUACUACAGUAGCUAUAACUCUUUAGCUCCGGAAGUACAAACUCGUCUUUCUCCAUCUCCUUUGUUCAAACCCCAAAAAUCCUCACUCACCAUAAGACUCAGUGAAAGCUUUGAAUCAAACCAUCCAUAAAACCCUUAAACACAAGAAACAGAACAAACCCCAUUUCUUCAAAUCAAGAAUCUGUUUCUUCUCAUCAUCAAACCAUGAACAACAACACAAGCUCUACUAGUACAAGUACGCAUUGAGAAAGCAAACCCAAAUGAAAAGUUCUUCUCUUUGAGAUCUUUGUGAAGAGAAAUGAAAGAAACAAGACAAAAGAACAAAUCUUUCCUCUUCAACUUGGCUUGGCUUCUCUCGUGGGUAAGUAAAUUAAAUCUCUUGAAGCAGUUCCAUCACUGUCCAAGAGAGACACUUUGGCUUUCAAAAACAGAAAAGAGAGAAAGAAAUGGUUAGAUAGAGAGAGAAAAAGAUAUGUGUCAGAGAGAGAAAAAGAAGAGUGCGUGGGGGUGAAAGAGAGAGAGUGAGUGAGUGGUUUUCCUCUUCUUAUAAGAGACCCGACCCGAUCUGACCCGACCCGGAUUUGACCCGGAUCCGACACAGUUGAGAGAAGAAAGAGGAAGAAGAGAGAGUGAGAGAGGUCCUACUAACGAGAAUUAUGAGAGGUGGUGUCAGUACCAGAGUCACUUGUUUCUGACCGUUGGAUUUGACUCUUGAGAUCUUGAUCGUUGAAAAUUAAUAAUUGUUUUUUUUGAGGUCUUGGAUUCGAUGAAAAGGACAAUGAAUUAUAGUAUUUGAAGAGAGAGAGAUAGAGAUAAUAGAGUUGUCAUAAAUGUUAGCGUUGUUUAUUUAAUUGUAUUUUAUUUUGAUCCAUUCAUUGAUGAAAGAAACACCAAAUAGGCAAAUACUCCCAUAAUUUGUUUUUUUUUUUUUUUUGGGAUUUAAAAUUAAAUUGUAUUAUUAUUUACAAAGUUUGGAUCUUUUUAUGAGUCGUUGAGAAAAAUGGUCAAAGGUUAUCUAUUGAUAUAAUUUGUAUAUUAUUAGUUUUUCAAUUCUAAAUUCUAAAUUAGAAACAAUCAUUAGCAAAUAGAUGCCCAACCAACAAUCCAACAUUUUUCGGAUACUAUACUUACGGUACCCAAAAAAAAACAAAUAGACAUGGUUCUUGCUUGAGCAAUACCGAUGGAAAUUUUUUAUUCGUUUGUCUAUCGAUGGCAAUUUUAAUCAAUCUACAACAAAAUUUUAUUCGUUUGCAUGUUGCAAUAUCGUGUGAUACGUCGCAGUGAUUUAUAUAACCCAACGGUUGAAUUCUUUUGUUGGGAAAAUGUUUGGCAAGUAUACGAAAGACGUCAUCACAUAAUCACACAUGCAGAUUUUAAAAAUGUUUUGUUGGGUCUGAUUGGUAAUAAGCUGUUAGCUGUUAGCUGGAGCUGUUAGCUGUUAGGGAAUAGUGUAAAGCUGUACAAAAGAAUAAAACAUGAAAGCUGUACAAAAAAAUAACGCAGAACAAAUUUUAAAAAUUUACUCUGAUUAGAAACAUCAUAGCGGUACACAUAAUAAAUAAUAUUAAGAAUUUAGAAAGAAAAAAAAUUACAUAGAAAUGUACUUUAGUAUAUAUUACAUAUGAAAAUUAAGAUUAUAUAGACUGAACAAUAUUUUAUUGUUAGAAUAAUAAUAUGAAUUUUACUAGUCCUAUAAUAAAUAAAAAAUUUCUUCAUUUUGAGCAAUAUAAUAUUCCAAAAUAAUUAUUUGAGAAAAAAACCAUUAUUUCUAAUGAGAUUUUUUCAUAGGCUGUAUUAUUUACUUUUUCGGAAAUCUUUAUCUGAACAUUCGAGACUUUUUUUUUUGCAUUAUACAUAGUUACAAUUAUAUUUUAUAAAGUUUAAUUAUGCGGUUAAUAAUACGGUUAACCGUGCGGCUAAUCGUUCGGUUAAAUAACGGUUUUGAUACGUUUCCUGUAUAUUAACGGUUACGGUUAGUAUAUUUUUUUAACCAUAACUAAUCUAGUUUUACGGUGAAUGGUUAUGAUUUUUAACCGUUUUAUACAGUUACGGUUGAAAAACGGUCCAGUUACGAUCCAAAAUACGGUUACGAUAAAAAUUUAAAGAGUAAAUUAAUUCAGCUCAUUAAGGAUAAACAAGUCAAAUACUAAUUUAUGCAAAAAAUGACUAACAUAUAAGAUCUGAUAUCUUACCAUAUUAAUUUGUUAUUAAUCAUUAUACUUCACCUCUCAUCUUUAUAUGAUUCUAUUUUUAUGAAACAAAUAAAUCAUCAUAUCAUCAAUAUAACAAAAAAAGUAAAUUUUUUCUGCAUAUGCCAAGAUUUUAAUUUUUAAAAAUGAAUAUAAAUUGUUACAUCUAUGAAGAAAAAAAUUUAACGGGUCUAAAAUUCACAUUUGAGUAAUAUUUUUCUUUUAACCAAAAAUAAGUUCAACAAAAUUACGACUGAGUAACGGGUUAGAAUUUGAAUAUUUAUAUUCAAUUUCAUAAAUUUAUUUUAUGAAAUGUAAUAUUUUAUAUACUACAAUAAGAUUUUUAAAUAUUAUAAUUUGCAACAUAUAAAAUUAGUUUUACUUGAUAUUUUUCAAGAAUAUCAUCAAUAUUUAAAGAAUAUCAUCAAUAAAUACUCUAAUUUGAUUUUUUAAAACAAAUAUUUAUAAUAGGCAGUUGGUUAAAUAUAAUAUAUUAUAUUAACAAAUGAGUUAUGAUCCUUAUAACUGUUUGAAUAUUUCUAUUUAAUUUCAUAUAAUUUUGUUUUGAAAUUCAUAAUUUUAUAUACUACAAAAAAUAUAUUUAAAGAUUUUAAUUUGGAACAUUUAAAAAUAGUUUAAUUUAAUAUUUUAAUGAAUAUCAUAAAUAUUUAAUAGAUUAAAAAGAUAAAAAAAUUAUAAAUACUUUAAUUUGAUCUUCUAAAAAGGUAUAUUUAAAAUAGUUAUAGUAGGCGGAGGGUUAAAUGUAAUAUAUUAUAUGAUAUAAAAUUAUGAUCUUUAUAAUAGACGGCAUGUUAAGAUUAUAUGAUCAGAUAGAUUAAAUAAGGUUGACACCACAAAAUAUUUGAAAAUUUGAUUGUGCAAGAAAUUUUGGAAAUAACGAAUAAUAGAUUAUGCACGCAAUAUUUUCAUUAGGAUUCUAAGAUAAAAAUAUAGACUCCACGCACGGGUUGAAUUUGGUAUAUUAUAUACUAAAUAUAUGUUCAUAACAUAUUCGAUUACGCAAAUAAUUGGUAAAUUCCGUAGUUACCUCAAACAAAUCUCUAUUUCAACAACCAAAGAAUUAGAAAUUGAAAAAAGAAUUUCCUAAAUUAAUUCAAAAUAAUAGCUAACUUUUUUAAUUAAUUAAAAAUAAUCUACGUUUUAAAAGAGAUUCAUUUAUAAUAUUUUGAUUUUUGAUCUAAUUGAAUUAUAUACAAUCUCAUUUUGUGGUUGUUAGUAUAAAUUAACUCAUUGUUCAGACCAUAUUAAUUUAUUAAAAUAAUUUUAUUUUUCGUUUUCGUAUCUUAAAAAAAUAUAUCCAUAAUUGAGUAUAAUUAAAAAAUAUAUAUAUUCAUUCUAAUAUUAUAUAUAUGGACUGGCAAAAAUGAAAUUAUAUUUUUUCAAUUACUAUUAUAAUAUAUCACAAAUUUAUUCUAAAAUAUAUAAUAUAUAAAUUUUGUAAUAAAUAAAAUUUAACUCGUACUGUAGUACGGGUGAUGAUCUAGUUAAGGUAUAUAUUUUUGUAAUAUAAGUAAAUAUACCACAAAAACAGAAAAAAAAAAACUAAAUAUAUCACAAAAUAGACCACAAUUUUUUUUGUGCUAUAUUUUGUUAUAAAAUUUUGGUAAUAUUAUUUUUGGUAUAUAUUUUUAUAUUUUAUGUAAAAAUAUGUAAUAAUUUAUUAUUUUUAAUUAUAUAUCAAAAAUAAAUUAGAAAGAAACAAAAACAUUUUUUUGAAAUAAUUUUUGGUCAACGUCGGUCAAUAUCGGUCAACGCCGGAUUCCGGCAACUGGAGCACUUGAAAUGGAUAGUUAUAGUGUUUGCAACAUAACUUAUGUUAGUUCAAGAGAUGUAUGUACGUAUAGCUAACGAGAUAUUUUUAAAGUAUGCAUGUGUGGCUAUGUAAUGACAUCUCUUUCGUGUAGCUGCCAAACAUUUUUCUUUUUUUAAACAACAUGAUAUCAAAUUAUAUUAGCUUAUUAUCAUGCGACAGCAAAACAAACGCUAUUAAAUUAAUUAUUUUCAGUAAAUGUAACUAUGCAUAUUUACUCAUCAAUAAUGCAAUAAGGAGUCUAUUCCACAAAGUCUGGAUAUUUCAUCACAAGAGAUAAGGAGUGCAUGAAACAGAACAGACCUCCUGCUGUGAUGAUAGAUUGGAAAGCAGAAGUGUGAAAUAUUAAGACUGCGUCAAAGAUAAAUUAAAGACCUUUCUCAGAAAAGUACUACUUGGUGCUCUAGCUACAGGAACCCAAUUGGCUGCUAAACAUAUGGAUGUGGAUACAGAUUGAUGUCGAUGUAAUGAACCAAAAUCUAUCUUUCAUGUCUUAUUCUUUUUCCCAUUUGCAUCUCAGGUAUGGAAUUUGGCCUCGUUCUCAUUGGACUUCGACUUUUUCUCUACGCAGGUUACAAGAUUUGGAUUUUUAAAAGCAAAAACCCUGGUUUGUUUACCACUAGUGGGAUUAGUAGGUGUUACCUUGGCCUCUUGGAUUCUAUGGAUUCUCUGGACAACAAGAAACCAAAAUAUUUUCAAUAACAAAAGUUACACCAUUGAAGAUAUCACUCUCAAAUCUAUCGAAUGCUGACGCUGUAGCAAAGAGUUCUCUCCGAUUGUGUGCUCAAAAGUUUAGUUGAGUUUAAUAUAAUUCGGGUGAACAAAAAAAUCCCUUUAUUUGUCAGGUGUCAAAUUUUGAGGAACUCUUAAAUGUGAAAAACCAAUUUCUCACAUUCUCCUAAAAUCUACACAUUUCUCUGUUUUUAAUGAGCCAAAUACAAAUAUCCCAAUUUACUCUUAGAAAAUCGAUUUUUUAAGAAAAAAAACCAAUUUCGACUAAUUAGAAAUUAUUUUUUCGACCAAUGAAAAGGGAGACUCCAACCAUUCAUAACAUUAUACAUCAAUCCGUCCCAUCAUCUUCUCUUGUCGAUCCUCGAAGCCAUCCCUCGUCGACUGAAAAUUGCAGCCGUCGCUGCCAACGUUCUCUUCCACCAUUACUCAAACUUU